rnacentral:misc_RNA from 1 species
AAGGAUCAUUACAAAAGUUAAACACUUGGGGAACGGACUCGCCUUUCGGGGCUCGAGGCCUGACUCCAUUUGUAACAAACUUUCAACCACUUGUGAAUUUGUAACAAAUUUUCUCACCAAUUGACUGUUAACGAAGUCUGAUUCAAAUUGUAUUGGUGUUUAUAGACACUAGUAAAAUAUGAAACAACUUUUGGCAACGGAUCUCUUGGCUCUC